rnacentral:rRNA from 1 species
AUGAACGCUAGCUACAGGCUUAACACAUGCAAGUCGAGGGGCAGCAUGGUCUUAGCUUGCUAAGGCCGAUGGCGACCGGCGCACGGGUGAGUAACACGUAUCCAACCUGCCGUCUACUCUUGGACAGCCUUCUGAAAGGAAGAUUAAUACAAGAUGGCAUCAUGAGUCCGCAUGUUCACAUGAUUAAAGGUAUUCCGGUAGACGAUGGGGAUGCGUUCCAUUAGAUAGUAGGCGGGGUAACGGCCCACCUAGUCUUCGAUGGGUAGGGGUUCUGAGAGGAAGGUCCCCCACAUUGGAACUGAGACACGGUCCAAACUCCUACGGGAGGCAGCAGUGAGGAAUAUUGGUCAAUGGGCGAGAGCCUGAACCAGCCAAGUAGCGUGAAGGAUGACUGCCCUAUGGGUUGUAAACUUCUUUUAUAAAGGAAUAAAGUCGGGUAUGGAUACCCGUUUGCAUGUACUUUAUGAAUAAGGAUCGGCUAACUCCGUGCCAGCAGCCGCGGUAAUACGGAGGAUCCGAGCGUUAUCCGGAUUUAUUGGGUUUAAAGGGAGCGUAGAUGGAUGUUUAAGUCAGUUGUGAAAGUUUGCGGCUCAACCGUAAAAUUGCAGUUGAUACUGGAUAUCUUGAGUGCAGUUGAGGCAGGCGGAAUUCGUGGUGUAGCGGUGAAAUGCUUAGAUAUCACGAAGAACUCCGAUUGCGAAGGCAGCCUGCUAAGCUGCAACUGACAUUGAGGCUCGAAAGUGUGGGUAUCAAACAGGAUUAGAUACCCUGGUAGUCCACACGGUAAACGAUGAAUACUCGCUGUUUGCGAUAUACAGCAAGCGGCCAAGCGAAAGCGUUAAGUAUUCCACCUGGGGAGUACGCCGGCAACGGUGAAACUCAAAGGAAUUGACGGGGGCCCGCACAAGCGGAGGAACAUGUGGUUUAAUUCGAUGAUACGCGAGGAACCUUACCCGGGCUUAAAUUGCAGAUGAAUUACGGUGAAAGCCGUAAGCUGCAAGGCAUCUGUGAAGGUGCUGCAUGGUUGUCGUCAGCUCGUGCCGUGAGGUGUCGGCUUAAGUGCCAUAACGAGCGCAACCCUUGUUGUCAGUUACUAACAGGUUCUGCUGAGGACUCUGACAAGACUGCCAUCGUAAGAUGUGAGGAAGGUGGGGAUGACGUCAAAUCAGCACGGCCCUUACGUCCGGGGCUACACACGUGUUACAAUGGGGGGUACAGAGGGCCGCUACCACGCGAGUGGAUGCCAAUCCCCAAAACCUCUCUCAGUUCGGACUGGAGUCUGCAACCCGACUCCACGAAGCUGGAUUCGCUAGUAAUCGCGCAUCAGCCACGGCGCGGUGAAUACGUUCCCGGGCCUUGUACACACCGCCCGUCAAGCCAUGGGAGCCGGGGGUACCUGAAGUGCGUAACCGCGAGGAGCGCCCUAGGGUAAAACUGGUGACUGGGGCU